GGAAGUAAAAGUCGUAACAAGGUCUCCGUAGGUGAACCUGCGGAGGGAUCAUUACUGAGUGAGGGCCUUCGGGCUCGACCUCCAACCCUUUGUGAACACAACUUGUUGCUUCGGGGGCGACCCUGCCGUUUCGACGGCGAGCGCCCCCGGAGGCCUUCAAACACUGCAUCUUUGCGUCGGAGUUUAAGUAAAUUAAACAAAACUUUCAACAACGGAUCUCUUGGUUCUGGCAUCGAUGAAGAACGCAGCGAAAUGCGAUAAGUAAUGUGAAUUGCAGAAUUCAGUGAAUCAUCGAAUCUUUGAACGCACAUUGCGCCCCUUGGUAUUCCGAGGGGCAUGCCUGUUCGAGCGUCAUUUCACCACUCAAGCCUCGCUUGGUAUUGGGCGCCGCGGUGUUCCGCGCGCCUCAAAGUCUCCGGCUGAGCUGUCCGUCUCUAAGCGUUGUGAUUUCAUUAAUCGCUUCGGAGCGCGGGCGGUCGCGGCCGUUAAAUCUUUCACAAGGUUGACCUCGGAUCAGGUAGGGAUACCCGCUGAACUUAAGCAUAUCAAUAAGCGGAGGAAA
rnacentral:rRNA from 1 species